UGCGUAGGCGGUUUACUAAGUCAGAUGUGAAAGCCCCGGGCUUAACCUGGGAACUGCAUUUGAUACUGGUAGGCUAGAGUAUGAUAGAGGGGGGUAGAAUUCCUGGUGUAGUGGUGAAAUGCGUAGAUAUCAGGAGGAAUACCAGUGGCGAAGGCGGCCCCCUGGAUCAAUACUGACGCUGAGGUACGAAAGCGUGGGUAGCGAACA
rnacentral:rRNA from 1 species